CAACUUUAUUUAUAAUAGCAUGAAAUUGGAAAAAUGUCCAUAAGUCCACCAACAGUUAAAGAGAGAAACAAAUUGUGGUAUACUCAUUCAAUGCAAUACUAUUCAGCAAUAAAAAGUAAUGAACUAUUGAUACACAGUACAACACGGAUGAAUCUCAAAAUAAUUAUGCUGCAUAGAAGCAAUCAGACAAAAAGAGUACAUAUUGUAUGUUUCCACUUAUAUAAAAUCCUAUGAACCCAAACUAAUCUACAGUGUCAGGAAGCAGAUGGGGUUGUCCGUGGAUCUGUGGGGAGGAGAGAAGGGGAGGCUGGGGAACUAGGGAGGGGCAGCAUGCAGGAAUUACAAGAGGGUAUGAGGAAAUUUUUUGGGGGGGGGGGUUGUAUAUGUGCACAACCUUGAUGGGUAGUGAUGGUUUCAGGAGUGUGUUGUGUGUGUGUGUGUGUGUGUGUGUGUGUGUGUAUGUAAAACAGUAUCAAAGGCUGUGCCUUAAAUAUGUGCAGUUUAUUGUAUAUCAAAUUUUCAUCAAUAAAUCUGUUUAAAAAAAUACUGGACGCUAGAAGAUAAUGAGUGAUGCCUUUGGUGUUCUAAAGGAGAAUUAUUUACAAUCCAGAGUUUUAUAGCCAGCUAAAUCAUUAAUGGAAAGGGCAGAAUAAAGAUUGUUUUGGACAAGCAUUGUCCUAGAAAGUUUACCUGUGUGUACUCUCAUAGGAACUUACACGAGGACACAGUAUUACUCCAUGAGGAGUGGUGUGGUAUGAGGGGAAGGGUAAACUGGUCAGAUGGUGGGACCCAGAGUGCCUUCUAAUGAUCAGAUCCCUUAACAUCGCUCCAAGGAGUAUCUUUAUUCCUUGGUCUGUGCUGGACAGUCUUAACAACUCUCCUUUAUUUUCAGAUUUCAUGCUGAUAUCCUCUUUAGUCUGCACUUGAAAUUCCAGUGGAUGCUUGACAUUGGGAAAGGUCUGGUCUGGGGGCUUGGGAAAUCUGUAGAUGGAGAAUAUCUCAUGCACAAAGAGUUACUGCUAUGAGUUAUUUCAGCCUCAGAGAUAAAGACACAGUGCGGAUCCUGGGACGGGAAUGAGUCUUCCCCAAAGUACAAAUGACCAGAUGCCAAGGAUCUUUAGGGUAGUUAACGAGUACUGGAAACCACCCAUGCCAUAUCCUUUAGGGCAAAAGUCAACCGUACAACAUUCCUCACACAUAUAUUUUUCUCUC
rnacentral:lncRNA from 1 species